UACGUAGGGUGCGAGCGUUAAUCGGAAUUACUGGGCGUAAAGUGUGAGCAGGCGGCAGAGCAAGUCGAGUGUGAAAGCCCCGGGCUUAACUUGGGAAUUGCGCUCGAAACUACUUUGCUGGAGUGUGGCAGAGGAAGGUGGAAUUCCACGUGUAGCGGUGAAAUGCGUAGAGAUGUGGAGGAACACCAAUGGCGAAGGCAGCCUUCUGGGCCAACACUGACGCUCAUGCACGAAAGCGUGGGGAGCAAACAGG
rnacentral:rRNA from 1 species